CAUAAUUGGGGGAAUAAUUAUGGGCCUUGGACUAGGGAGUAGUUCUAGGAGGGCUGUGCAGUUGCCUGGCCUCUCAGUAACUGUUCUGGCUUCUUUGCAGGUGCUGAAGCAUAGUCUGGCAGUCGAAGGAGCGGCGUCACAGCUGGGAGCUCCGCAGAGAUCUGCGGCUGGCCGUGGAGGACGAGCUCUGACUUGCAGCGUGGACGCAGCUAAGUCCUGGGGCUGCAUUGCGUGUGAGCAGGGCUGGGAGGUGGAAGGCGGUUGUCCCCUGGUGCUUACUGCUGUCACUGGCUGUGGAUGUUUGCCCAUGGAGCUGAGGAGCCCAAAAAUAUUAAUUGUCGGUGAUGGAGAUGAGUUAGCGCUUGCAAUGUUUCAGGUGGGUUCAGUGGACGUGCAGCUUAGUGCAAUCCCGUGGAGCGAGUCUUGCACAUGCUGACGGUGGCUAAAACCAAGCCUGUAAACAGCAACUGCAACAUGAUUCUGCGUUCAGCUCUGUGCAAUGACCUGAGGUCUGGAUUGGUACGGUGCAGGCCCAUCGCACUGAGAGCGGUGAUGUGACGGGUGAGGUGAGAGCUGUGAAAGUGUCUUGCAGGGCUCUAGUCUGGGGUAGGGCAGAAGUGAUCAGAUGGGCAGGAUCAGAGAUCAAAGAUCCUCUCACCUGUCAGAGCUGAAUCCUAUCCCUGAAGGGAAAAGCCGAGGGGAUGGGCUGUCGGCCACUCAGACACCUGCCGCGUCAAGGGCAGCAGCAGGAGCUGAGCCUUCCUCACGGACCGACGAACACUGGUGCGGUGACGACUCUUCAGGUGUCACAGGGUAAGGAGAAGCAUGCUGGCACCGAGCUCCAUGGCAGACUCUCUCCCAGGUGUUGCUUCUGUGCAGUAAAACAAUAAACAGUUGCUUUAUUCUUUGCA